rnacentral:rRNA from 1 species
UACGAAGGGGGCUAGCGUUGUUCGGAAUUACUGGGCGUAAAGCGCACGUAGGCGGGUCGUUAAGUCAGGGGUGAAAUCCCAGAGCUCAACUCUGGAACUGCCUUUGAUACUGGCGACCUAGAGUUCGGAAGAGGUUAGUGGAAUUCCCAGUGUAGAGGUGAAAUUCGUAGAUAUUGGGAAGAACACCAGUGGCGAAGGCGGCUAACUGGUCCGAUACUGACGCUGAGGUGCGAAAGCGUGGGGAGCAAACAG